rnacentral:rRNA from 1 species
GGGUUGUGAGGUUAAGCGACUAAGCGUACACGGUGGAUGCCCUGGCAGUCAGAGGCGAUGAAGGACGUGCUAAUCUGCGAUAAGCGUCGGUAAGGUGAUAUGAACCGUUAUAACCGGCGAUUUCCGAAUGGGGAAACCCAGUGUGUUUCGACACACUAUCAUUAACUGAAUCCAUAGGUUAAUGAGGCGAACCGGGGGAACUGAAACAUCUAAGUACCCCGAGGAAAAGAAAUCAACCGAGAUUCCCCCAGUAGCGGCGAGCGAACGGGGAGCAGCCCAGAGCCUGAAUCAGUGUGUGUGUUAGUGGAAGCGUCUGGAAAGGCGCGCGAUACAGGGUGACAGCCCCGUACACAAAAAUGCACAUGCUGUGAGCUCGAUGAGUAGGGCGGGACACGUGGUAUCCUGUCUGAAUAUGGGGGGACCAUCCUCCAAGGCUAAAUACUCCUGACUGACCGAUAGUGAACCAGUACCGUGAGGGAAAGGCGAAAAGAACCCCGGCGAGGGGAGUGAAAAAGAACCUGAAACCGUGUACGUACAAGCAGUGGGAGCACGCUUAGGCGUGUGACUGCGUACCUUUUGUAUAAUGGGUCAGCGACUUAUAUUCUGUAGCAAGGUUAACCGAAUAGGGGAGCCGAAGGGAAACCGAGUCUUAACUGGGCGUUAAGUUGCAGGGUAUAGACCCGAAACCCGGUGAUCUAGCCAUGGGCAGGUUGAAGGUUGGGUAACACUAACUGGAGGACCGAACCGACUAAUGUUGAAAAAUUAGCGGAUGACUUGUGGCUGGGGGUGAAAGGCCAAUCAAACCGGGAGAUAGCUGGUUCUCCCCGAAAGCUAUUUAGGUAGCGCCUCGUGAAUUCAUCUCCGGGGGUAGAGCACUGUUUCGGCAAGGGGGUCAUCCCGACUUACCAACCCGAUGCAAACUGCGAAUACCGGAGAAUGUUAUCACGGGAGACACACGGCGGGUGCUAACGUCCGUCGUGAAGAGGGAAACAACCCAGACCGCCAGCUAAGGUCCCAAAGUCAUGGUUAAGUGGGAAACGAUGUGGGAAGGCCCAGACAGCCAGGAUGUUGGCUUAGAAGCAGCCAUCAUUUAAAGAAAGCGUAAUAGCUCACUGGUCGAGUCGGCCUGCGCGGAAGAUGUAACGGGGCUAAACCAUGCACCGAAGCUGCGGCAGCGACGCUUAUGCGUUGUUGGGUAGGGGAGCGUUCUGUAAGCCUGUGAAGGUGUGCUGUGAGGCAUGCUGGAGGUAUCAGAAGUGCGAAUGCUGACAUAAGUAACGAUAAAGCGGGUGAAAAGCCCGCUCGCCGGAAGACCAAGGGUUCCUGUCCAACGUUAAUCGGGGCAGGGUGAGUCGACCCCUAAGGCGAGGCCGAAAGGCGUAGUCGAUGGGAAACAGGUUAAUAUUCCUGUACUUGGUGUUACUGCGAAGGGGGGACGGAGAAGGCUAUGUUGGCCGGGCGACGGUUGUCCCGGUUUAAGCGUGUAGGCUGGUUUUCCAGGCAAAUCCGGAAAAUCAAGGCUGAGGCGUGAUGACGAGGCACUACGGUGCUGAAGCAACAAAUGCCCUGCUUCCAGGAAAAGCCUCUAAGCAUCAGGUAACAUCAAAUCGUACCCCAAACCGACACAGGUGGUCAGGUAGAGAAUACCAAGGCGCUUGAGAGAACUCGGGUGAAGGAACUAGGCAAAAUGGUGCCGUAACUUCGGGAGAAGGCACGCUGAUAUGUAGGUGAAGUCCCUCGCGGAUGGAGCUGAAAUCAGUCGAAGAUACCAGCUGGCUGCAACUGUUUAUUAAAAACACAGCACUGUGCAAACACGAAAGUGGACGUAUACGGUGUGACGCCUGCCCGGUGCCGGAAGGUUAAUUGAUGGGGUCAGCGCAAGCGAAGCUCUUGAUCGAAGCCCCGGUAAACGGCGGCCGUAACUAUAACGGUCCUAAGGUAGCGAAAUUCCUUGUCGGGUAAGUUCCGACCUGCACGAAUGGCGUAAUGAUGGCCAGGCUGUCUCCACCCGAGACUCAGUGAAAUUGAACUCGCUGUGAAGAUGCAGUGUACCCGCGGCAAGACGGAAAGACCCCGUGAACCUUUACUAUAGCUUGACACUGAACAUUGAGCCUUGAUGUGUAGGAUAGGUGGGAGGCUUGGAAGUGUGGACGCCAGUCUGCAUGGAGCCGACCUUGAAAUACCACCCUUUAAUGUUUGAUGUUCUAACGUUGACCCGUAAUCCGGGUUGCGGACAGUGUCUGGUGGGUAGUUUGACUGGGGCGGUCUCCUCCUAAAGAGUAACGGAGGAGCACGAAGGUUGGCUAAUCCUGGUCGGACAUCAGGAGGUUAGUGCAAUGGCAUAAGCCAGCUUGACUGCGAGCGUGACGGCGCGAGCAGGUGCGAAAGCAGGUCAUAGUGAUCCGGUGGUUCUGAAUGGAAGGGCCAUCGCUCAACGGAUAAAAGGUACUCCGGGGAUAACAGGCUGAUACCGCCCAAGAGUUCAUAUCGACGGCGGUGUUUGGCACCUCGAUGUCGGCUCAUCACAUCCUGGGGCUGAAGUAGGUCCCAAGGGUAUGGCUGUUCGCCAUUUAAAGUGGUACGCGAGCUGGGUUUAGAACGUCGUGAGACAGUUCGGUCCCUAUCUGCCGUGGGCGCUGGAGAACUGAGGGGGGCUGCUCCUAGUACGAGAGGACCGGAGUGGACGCAUCACUGGUGUUCGGGUUGUCAUGCCAAUGGCACUGCCCGGUAGCUAAAUGCGGAAGAGAUAAGUGCUGAAAGCAUCUAAGCACGAAACUUGCCCCGAGAUGAGUUCUCCCUGACCCUUUAAGGGUCCUGAAGGAACGUUGAAGACGACGACGUUGAUAGGCCGGGUGUGUAAGCGCAGCGAUGCGUUGAGCUAACCGGUACUAAUGAACCGUGAGGCUUAACCUUACAACGCCGAAGCUGUU